AAAGUCCUGUGUAGACUUCACCCAGCCCCUCCCAGUGUUAACAUCUUAGGAUUGGGACUGAUGACUUUAUAAGAAGAAGAGAGGCCUCAACUAGCACAUUUGCAUGUUCAGCCCACUUGCCAUUUGAUGCCCUGCAAAGCCUCGGAAUUCAGCAGAGUCCCCACCAGCAAGAAGGCCCUCAAUAGACACAGCCCUUUGAGGCUGGACUUCUCAACCUCCAAAACG
rnacentral:lncRNA from 10 species